CCUACGGGCGGCAGCAGUGAGGAAUAUUGGUCAAUGGACGAGAGUCUGAACCAGCCAAGUAGCGUGAAGGAUGACUGCCCUAUGGGUUGUAAACUUCUUUUAUAUGGGAAUAAAAUGUCCCACGCGUGGGAUUUUGUAUGUACUAUAUGAAUACGGACCGGCUAAAUCCGGGCCAGCUGCCGCGGUAAUACGGAGGAUCCGAGCGUUAGCCGGAUUGAUUGGGGGUAAAGGGAGCGUAGGUGGAUUGUUAAGUCAGUUGUGAAAGUUUGCGGCUGAACCGUAAGAUUGCAGUUGAAACUGGCAGUCUUGAGUAAAGUAGAGGUGGGCGGAAUUCGUGGUGUAGCGGUGAAAUGCUUAGAUAUUACGAAGAACACCGAUUGCGAAGGCAGCUAACUGGACUGCAACUGACACUGAGGCUCGAAAGUGUGGGUAUCAAACAGGAUUAGAUACCCUAGUAGUC
rnacentral:rRNA from 1 species